rnacentral:rRNA from 1 species
ACUCCUACGGGAGGCAGCAGUGGGGAAUAUUGGACACUGGGCGCAAGCCUGAUCCAGCCAUGCCGCGUGAGUGAUGAAGGCCCUAGGGUUGUAAAGCUCUUUCACCGGUGAAGAUAAUGACGGUAACCGGAGAAGAAGCCCCGGCUAACUUCGUGCCAGCAGCCGCGGUAAUACGAAGGGGGCUAGCGUUGUUCGGAUUUACUGGGCGUAAAGCGCACGUGGGCGGACUAUUAAGUCAGGGGUGAAAUCCCGGGGCUCAACCCCGGAACUGCCUUUGAUACUGGUAGUCUUGAGUUCGAGAGAGGUGAGUGGAAUUCCGAGUGUAGAGGUGAAAUUCGUAGAUAUUCGGAGGAACACCAGUGGCGAAGGCGGCUCACUGGCUCGAUACUGACGCUGAGGUGCGAAAGCGUGGGGAGCAAACAGGAUUAGAAACCCUGGUAGUCCCAUGA